CGACCGGCGCACGGUGAGUAACACGUAGUCCAACCUGCCGAUAACUCGGGGAUAGCCUUUCGAAAGAAAGAUUAAUAUCCGAUAGCAUAUCAAGAUCGCAUGAUCUUGAUAUUAAAGAAUUUCGGUUAUCGAUGGGGAUGCGUUCCAUUAGUUAGUUGCGGGUAACGGCCCACCAAGACGACGAUGGAUAGGGGGUUCUGAGAGGAAGGUCCCCCACAUUGGAACUGAGACACGGUCCAAACUCCUACGGAAGGCAGCAG
rnacentral:rRNA from 1 species